rnacentral:rRNA from 1 species
AGUGGCGAACGGGUGAGUAACACGUGAAUAACCUGCCCUGGAGUGGGGGACAACAGUUGGAAACGACUGCUAAUACCGCAUAAGCCCACAGAGCCGCAUGGCUCAGGGGGAAAAGGAGCAAUUCGCUUCAGGAUGGAUUCGCGUCCGAUUAGCUAGUUGGUGAGGUAACGGCCCACCAAGGCGACGAUCGGUAGCCGGACUGAGAGGUUGAACGGCCACAUUGGGACUGAGACACGGCCCAGACUCCUACGGGAGGCAGCAGUGGGGAAUAUUGCACAAUGGGGGAAACCCUGAUGCAGCGACGCCGCGUGGAGGAAGAAGGUCUUCGGAUUGUAAACUCCUGUUGUUGAGGAAGAUAAUGACGGUACUCAACAAGGAAGUGACGGCUAACUACGUGCCAGCAGCCGCGGUAAAACGUAGGUCACAAGCGUUGUCCGGAAUUACUGGGUGUAAAGGGAGCGCAGGCGGGAAGACAAGUUGGAAGUGAAAUCCAUGGGCUCAACCCAUGAACUGCUUUCAAAACUGUUUUUCUUGAGUAGUGCAGAGGUAGGCGGAAUUCCCGGUGUAGCGGUGGAUGCGUAGAUAUCGGG